GACGAACGCUGGCGGCGUGCUUAACACAUGCAAGUCGAACGGAAAGGCCCCUUUGGGGGUACUCGAGUGGCGAACGGGUGAGUAACACGUGAGUAACCUGCCCUUGACUUCGGGAUAACUUCAGGAAACUGGGGCCAAUACCGGAUAGGAAUCCUUGCUGCAUGGUGGGGGUUGGAAAGCUUCGGCGGUUUUGGAUGGACUCGCGGCUUAUCAGCUUGUUGGUGGGGUAGUGGCUUACCAAGGCUUUGACGGGUAGCCGGCCUGAGAGGGCGACCGGCCACAUUGGGACUGAGAUACGGCCCAGACUCCUACGGGAGGCAGCAGUGGGGAAUAUUGCACAAUGGGCGGAAGCCUGAUGCAGCAACGCCGCGUGCGGGAUGACGGCCUUCGGGUUGUAAACCGCUUUCAGCAGGGGCGAAGCUUGUGGUGACGGUACCUGCAGAAGAAGCACCGGCUAACUACGUG
rnacentral:rRNA from 1 species